rnacentral:snRNA from 1 species
UUGAAUCAAAGGAAGACAUG